CAGUGAGCCGGCGCCGGUUGGGUUUAGGUGGUUUAGGUAUUUCAAUUUGUGGGUCCAGUUAGGGUUGUUGACUACUGCAGAAAAUCUCAUAUUAUAAAGUCAUGGAGUCAAUUGUGUCAUUACCCUUCAAGCUUCUAGAAAUCCCCAACCUUAAGCUGAAGAAGCCAUCAUGGUUUAAACAGCCUACAGCAAUGCAAAUGUUUGCAUUCAUUCUCGUUUCUUAUUUUAUGGUAACAGGAGGCAUCAUUUAUGAUGUUAUCAAUGAGCCCCCCAGCAUUGGAUCUACUACAGAUGAGCGAGGACAUUCAAAACCUGUGGCAUUCCUGCCCUACAGAGUUAAUGGCCAGUACAUCAUGGAAGGCCUGGCGUCGUCGUUCCUGUUCACCAUGGGCGGCCUCGGCUUCAUCCUGUUGGACCGCACCCACAACCCGGCCACGCCGCGCAGUAACCGUAUGAUGCUGAUCGGCGUCGGCUUCUCCUGCAUCCUCGUCAGUUUCGCCUGCUGCUUCACCUUCAUGCGCAUAAAACUGCCGUACUACCUGCUUUCGUAGAGCACAACGCCCACCCGUCGGCUACAGCCGACGAACCUGCGCCACGCCACGCCAGACCCAAGUGACAUUACCGCUCCCAGGAGACCAUAGGCAUCCGGCCUGCAGGAUUUAACCCGUCACACUGGUCGUGCGGGGUCGAUGGGUACGUGGACUGUCUGCAGCGGUGAUUCGCGGACCAAUGCGUGCGUGAUAUUCGACACCCCACUUGUAACUCGCCAGCGGGCUGUACGGCCGAGAUGUAUAACCACGGUGAUACGCCUCGGCCACGAAGAUUGAUGGUGGGUGUAGGUCGUGUCUGCUGUGUGCAGCCAGACCUGCCUCUGGCCAAAGUGAUACCGUUCGCGACAAUCUAACAUCCGGCUUAGUGCGGCGGAACGGCGGUGACAGGCACACCAGUGCUGAAUGUAAUCCACCAUGGCUCCAUUAGAAGUGAUGUUGUCUGUUCUCUAACGAAUUAUUUCGGUGGAUGAUUGUGGGACGAUUGAAAUCACUGCAAAGGUACGGUUGGUUUCUUCUGGGCCAUGUCUCAUCCGCUUUUUCCCCGGUGUCCCACUCCGUGUUUAGACGAGUGAGCUGUGCGCGUGCGGUCACAGAAUACGCUGGAUUGAUCCACUUUUGCUACUGCCAUGGGUGAAUAAACACGACAGCACAAAGA
rnacentral:misc_RNA from 1 species